AUUGAACGCUGGCGGCAUGCUUUACACAUGCAAGUCGAACGGUAACAGGUUAAGCUGACGAGUGGCGAACGGGUGAGUAACGCAUCGGAACGUGCCCGAUCGUGGGGGAUAACGCAGCGAAAGCUGCGCUAAUACCGCAUUAGAUCCGAGGAUGAAAGCGGGGGACUUUAUAGCAAUAUGAGGCCUCGCGCGAUCGGAGCGGCCGAUGUCAGAUUAGGUAGUUGGCGGGGUAAAGGCCCACCAAGCCGACGAUCUGUAGCUGGUCUGAGAGGACGACCAGCCACACUGGGACUGAGACACGGCCCAGACUCCUACGGGAGGCAGCAGUGGGGAAUUUUGGACAAUGGGCGCAAGCCUGAUCCGGCAAUGCCGCGUGCAGGAAGAAGGCCUUCGGGUUGUAAACUGCUUUUGUACGGAGCGAAAAGGUCUUCUCUAAUAAAGAAGGCUGAUGACGGUACCGUAAGAAUAAGCACCGGCUAACUACGUGCCAGCCGCCGCCGUAACAC
rnacentral:rRNA from 1 species